UGAAAGAGCCUUAUUACCUGUCAUAAAUAA
rnacentral:piRNA from 1 species